GAAAAUACAUAAGUUACCUGCAACAUCUUUAGGAGGCGGGGUACAUAGCAACCAAAGAUACAGGCUCCGAAAGUCCCAAAGAAGCAUCUUACUCAAAGGAAGCCCUCAAAAGAUGAAAGUGCAGGAAAGAAGAGGAGGAACAGUGGUCUAACAGGCAUCAUUUUCCCUCUUACUGACCAGCACUGCGUGUUGCAUAUUUAUCCCCUGCUGCAAGGGAGCUUAAAAAUCAAGUCUUUUCUUUUACAUUCUCCUCAUCAAAGAGAAAGGAGUUAAAAGUGAGCUAGCCAAUACAUCGUAUCAAUCACAAAAAAAGUCGGAAGAACUUUAAGGGAUACAUUUACCCCAAAGAAAGGAAAAGAUCUAAGAAAACCUAUACUUUAUAGAUGAUUUU